rnacentral:misc_RNA from 1 species
UAGAAAACUUGGAAGGUGGAUGUGAAAAGUUGGAAAGUAUUGCUAAUUGUUUGCUGGGUGUCUUACUUUCUGCACAUUCUAAAUCAGCCAUUGCUGAAUCUGAAAGGAUCACAAGACAAGCCAAGGCUUUGCAGGUCCUUGAAUUGGCAGGAAAAAUGACAAGGAUGCAAGACUCCCAUGUUCUUUAUUAUCUCAGCCUGGAAAAUGCAGAGCAAAGGAAACUAGAUGUAGCAUUUUAUUAUGCAUCGCACUUAUUGAAACUGGAAAAUGGAUCUAAUAUUAAAACGUGGCUACUAUUGGCCAGGAUCUUAUCUGCUCAGAAACGGUAUGUAGAUGCUGAUGCUGUUAUCAGUGCUGCCUUAGAUCAGACAGGGAAAUGGGAUCAGGGAGAGCUGUUGAGAACUCGAGCUAAACUUCAAAUUGCACAGGGCCAGUUAGAGAGUGCUGUUAAGACUUAUGGACAGCUUCUUGCCAUUCUUCAAGU